CUGGCUCAGGAUGAACGCUAGCGACAGGCUAACACAUGCAAGUCGAGGGCAGCAUAAAAGUAGCAAGUACUUGGUGGCGACCGGCGCACGGGUGAGUAACGCGUAUGCAACCUACCUAUCAGAGGGGAAUAACCCGGCGAAAGUCGGACUAAUACCGCAUAAAACAGGGGCACCGCAUGGUGAUAUUUGUUAAAGAAAUUCGCUGAUAGAUGGGCAUGCGUUCCGUUAGGUAGUUGGUGAGGUAACGGCUCACCAAGCCGACGAUGGAUAGGGGAACUGAGAGGUUGGUCCCCCACACUGGUACUGAGACACGGACCAGACUCCUACGGGAGGCAGCAGUGAGGAAUAUUGGUCAAUGGGCGGGAGCCUGAACCAGCCAAGUCGCGUGAAGGAAGAAGGAUCUAUGGUUCGUAAACUUCUUUUGCAGGGGAAUAAAGUGCAGGACGUGUCCUGUUUUGUACGUACCCUGAGAAUAAGGAUCGGCUAACUCCGUGCCAGCAGCCGC
rnacentral:rRNA from 1 species